rnacentral:tRNA from 3 species
GGCCCUAUCGUCUAACGGUUAGGACACCACUCUUUCAAGGUGGGAACCCGGGUUCGAUUCCCGGUAGGGUCA